GAUGAACGCUAGCGGCAGGCUUAACACAUGCNAGUCGAACGGUAACAGGUCCUUCGGGAUGCUGACGAGUGGCGCACGGGUGCGUAACGCGUAUACAAUCUACCUUUUACAGGGGGAUAGCCCAGAGAAAUUUGGAUUAAUAUCCCAUAGUAUUAUUGAAUGGCAUCAUUUGAUAAUUAAAGCUUCGGNGGUAAGAGAUGAGUAUGCGUUCUAUUAGCUAGUAGGUAAGGUAACGGCUUACCUAGGCAACGAUAGAUAGGGGUCCUGAGAGGGAGAUCCCCCACACUGGUACUGAGACACGGACCAGACUCCUACGGGAGGCAGCAGUGAGGAAUAUUGGACAAUGGAGGCAACUCUGAUCCAGCCAUGCCGCGUGCAGGAAGACGGCCCUAUGGGUUGUAAACUGCUUUUAUACAGGAAGAAACACUCCCUCGUGAGGGAGCUUGACGGUACUGUAUGAAUAAGCACCGGCUAACUCCGUGC
rnacentral:rRNA from 1 species